UCCGUAGGGUGCAGGCGUUAAUCGGAAUUACUGGGCGUAAAGCGUACGCAGGCGGUUUGCUAAGACAGGUGUGAAAUCCCCGGGCUUAACCUGGGAACUGCGCUUGUGACUGCAAGACUCGAGUGUGGCAGAGGGGGGUGGAAUUCCACGUGUAGCAGUGAAAUGCGUAGAGAUGUGGAGGAACACCGAUGGCGAAGGCAGCCCCCUGGGUCAACACUGACGCUCAUGCACGAAAGCGUGGGGAGCAAACAGG
rnacentral:rRNA from 1 species